rnacentral:lncRNA from 1 species
GCCAGUCACCGUGAUGGACGAGCUAGUGGCCAAGUGCGGCCAAAGCCACUGGGGGACUAUAGGUGCUUGUGCUUAUUCUCAGCUGCGAAUUCACACAAGGUGGAGGUGAUUAGGGGAAGCAUGGUUCAUGGGUGACCUUCAUCUUGCCACCGGAUACGGGCUGCUCGCACUCGUGGACGCCCUCGACCGGACUCGAGGUAGCACCACUCGUGGACGGAGAUCAAUAGAGCCUGACAUGCACUACAACCCAAUCCAAUCCUAUCAUAUAACAAGGAAUGAAUAAUAAUUUAUAUUUUGUUAAUUUCUGAAGGCAUCUGUACAACAAAUUAGAACUUCAGAGAGGUAUUUUUUCAUACAAACUGUGUCCAUGCUAUAGGUUUGAAUAAAUUGAGAGAGAGAGUAUUAUGUACUAAAUUCAUGUGGAGAGCAGAGCAGCUGCGCGUCUAGAAUGGGCUGCCCCGGAGCAAAGCUCGCUCUCCCACUGUUGGAUGACUUAACUUGGACGGCACCCGGUGCUCGACCU